rnacentral:lncRNA from 1 species
CUCUGCCUCUAUUUUAAUCUCCGCGUGGUUUGUAACAACUCUCCCAUCCAAGCAUCUAAUUUCCCGAAUGGUGUUUUGCGCUUGUCUUGUUCUGAUGGAAUUGUGAAAAGUUUUAUUAUUCUGAUCUCCCACUUCCAAUCAGUGAAGUUUAGCCAUCUGCUUAAGAAAAUCCUCCUCCAGUUCUGCAACGUGUAACCACUUUUCAUAAGCCUCAGCUUCCUCCUGAAUUGUCUCCAUAUUAGGACUUGAUAAUGUUUUCUUCUGUUUCACACAUAGAGUAGCAUGCACUUCAUUUGCUCUUUUAGUAAGAUUCCCAAGCUUUUCUCUUCCUAACUCUCUGACCAACGGUUUCAGAUUCUUCCACUUCUUUGAGAAACGAUACAUUGCUGAAGUAGAAUGAAAUAGUUUCCCAGUUGAGUCCAUGAACUCUUUCACCAUUGGCAUGAAGUUUGGUAACUUUCCUAUAGCAUUGACGUACUUAAAAGGUCACCUUAUUUUUUCCACAGGUUGAAAUACUUGCAUCUUACAUCUCA